GCCGCCGUAGCUCAGCGUGGUAGAGCAGCGGACCCUGAACCCGUUGGUCGACGGUUCGAGUCCGUCCGGCGGCGCCA
rnacentral:tRNA from 1 species